GCUCUCCAAGCGCUGGGAAGUCAGGGUGGGCAGCUGAACUGGCAGACACUGAAAGGCUGUCCUCUUUCCCUGUCCCAUGGCAGAAGAUGACUGAUACCUGUGUCGAUGUAAAGAGAGAGGCAGCAUCUUUGGUGGUGGCACGAAGUUUAGGUGGCCUGUUUGAAACAUCACACCUUUAGUCCAAGUGAGAGGGUGCCUCGAACAGUGCUUCAAGAAUGAGCAGGAGGAGCUCCAGAAAUGCUGACUGGGUGGCACUGGUUCAUUUGGGUGGAAAAUGCUGAGUAAGACAGGUUCUGAGUGCUACUUUAGAUGAAAACAGCACAUUCUCAGUUGAGCACUUGUGUUCUGCAUUUUGUGCCAUUUUCUAUUUUCUCCUUGUGAGUUUUCAGUGUUUCUGCUUUACUGAUGCAAAUACUCACCCAAAGCACUCAUUGAGCUGGCUAUAAUGAGCACUUGGCUGCUGAAAAUUUGGGAUUGCAUCUGAAAUUCUAACAAAAAUGUCUGUCAGUUUAUUCUACAAACUGUAAAGGACUGUUUAAUAGAUCAUGCAAUCACAGGAUGGAAGUAGCAGGAAGGGACCAAUUGUAAUGUUUUGCUUGGGACUUUUUCCAGUUGGGACCUCUCGACAGGCUAAUUCAUCUAUGUGGCCACUCACUCAAAUGACAGAGGAAAGCCUUUCACACAUCUAAGCCAAAAUAAGUGUUUUUUGACCCUACAAUCUUCAGACUAAAUAGCAAUUUGUGACUGUUAUUAUUAAAAUGUUCUGGAUGAUAAAUCUUUCCCUAGGAAAUCCAUGAUAUCACCUCUGGAAGCCACUUGAGAACUUCUCUGAGUAUGGUUAUAAAGUUCCCAGAAAAGAAAAGAACAGGACCACCUUGGACACCAUUAGUCCUCCAACCAUCCUAUUUUCUGAGCAUCAAGUACAAUACGUUGACUUAAUGAAGACAUGAAUAGGAAGAUUUGCAUGUCAAGAGUAGGAAUGUGUCUCUGGUACCAGGAGGGAAUAUGAGAAUUUGCUGAUGAAGGCACUAAGUGGCUGAACAGGACAUCAGCUGGCUUUCAUAGAGCCCUGUGUGUCAGGGUCCAGCAGUCACAAGCCUGUGACUGAGGCUGAGAGGGAAGGGCAGUCUCUACCAAGAAGAAGGUCGUUCCCUUUGUGGAGAGGUGGAAAAUGAAUGAAAGAAACCCCUGGGAAGGCUCCAAAUAGAUCCUCACAGUCCACCACCAGUGUCACAUGAGACUACUCAGAAGAGCUUAAACACAGUUACCUGAACUUUGUUGUAUUUGGAGUCACAUCUCUUAAAAUAAGUAAAACUACCCAGUGAUACCUCUGCACUGGCUCUGCGUGAUUUAUGCUGGGAAUAGAAAAAGCAAAAUGGGGAGCAUCUUCAGGAUGAAAAAAGAUGGGUGACUCAUUCAGACGGCUGCAAUGUGGAGGCUCAAGGAAAGUGAUGUGAAUGCUGCUUCACAAGGAAAGCUAAAAAGAAAGCUGAACAAGGAAAGCUUGUAAGGAAACUCACUGUGGGAGAAAGUCCUUCAAAGAGCCAGAUCCUUCCAUUGUGAGAGCUGAAGGGUCUGCAGACAGCCAGGUAUCUAAUGGAAGGGAAGGCUGAACCAGAGGUGCUACCUGGAGGUGCACAGCAAAGGACAAGAGCUUGUGCGGGACACAAGCUGCAACACUGGGAAUUUCAAUGAGGUAUUAGGAAAAAAAUUUAUUUUGAAGACAGUCAACCAGUGGAACAGGAGCCCAGAGGAGUUGUGGACUCCUGAUCCUUCAUUUAUAGCUCAGCUGAACCAGGCUCUGCACAACUGAAUCUGCUCAGAGUGGCAGGUGGGGUCCAGCAGCCUCCAGAUAUUUCUUCCUUCCUCUUCUUCUUUCUAAGUCUAGAUUACAUCUGAUCAAAUGGCUUUUAUCUUCUCUCUUCUUUAAUUUCAUUUUUGCAGUGUAAUUUUUGACAGGAUUUAAAUCAGUGCAAAUAGUUUAUUUUUUUCACUGAUCAGUUUUCCCACAAAAAAAACCCCAAGUGAGACAAUGCCAAAUACAAGGAAAAGAAGAAGAUGGAGCAAAAGCAACAAGAAUCCACUCAAAAUUUUGUAUAUGAAAAAAAAAAAAAGAAGGUAGAAAGCAAGAAAAGAACCAGUAAAAAAUUUAGAAACACAAAUUUUCAGAAAUUUCGUAAGAGGUUUUGGAAAAAAGGCCAAAAAUAUAUUUUUUCCAAUUGCAUAGAAUGAAAAUUACUAUGAGAUUUUACCCCCCAGUAUAAUUUUCUCCACAUGGUUUCUAAUUUGUGAUUACUUAUAAAUUUGCAAAUUUUGAUGAAUUAUUCAUGAUGUUUAUACAUUCUGUCUUUCUCCUGACUAGAAACACCAAGACUAGUUUUUCUAGGUGAAUCAUGAAGCAGAUCUU